rnacentral:rRNA from 1 species
UGGGGAAUUUUGGACAAUGGGCGCAAGCCUGAUCCAGCCAUGCCGCGUGUCUGAAGAAGGCCUUCGGGUUGUAAAGGACUUUUGUCAGGGAAGAAAAGGAUAGGGUUAAUACCCCUGUCUGAUGACGGUACCUGAAGAAUAAGCACCGGCUAACUACGUGCCAGCAGCCGCGGUAAUACGUAGGGUGCGAGCGUUAAUCGGAAUUACUGGGCGUAAAGCGGGCGCAGACGGUUACUCAAGCAGGAUGUGAAAUCCCCGGGCUCAACCUGGGAACUGCGUUCUGAACUGGGUGACUAGAGUGUGUCAGAGGGAGGUAGAAUUCCACGUGUAGCAGUGAAAUGCGUAGAGAUGUGGAGGAAUACCGAUGGCGAAGGCAGCCUCCUGGGAUAACACUGACGUUCAUGCUCGAAAGCGUGGGUAGCAAACAGGAUUAGAUACCCUGGUAGUCCACGCCCUAAACGAUGUCAAUUAGCUGUUGGGCAACUUGAUUGCUUAGUAGCGUAGCUAACGCGUGAAAUUGACCGCCUGGGGAGUACGGUCGCAAGAUUA